AGAGUUUGAUCAUGGCUCAGGAUGAACGCUAGCUACAGGCUUAACACAUGCAAGUCGAGGGGAAACGACAUCGAAAAGCCUGCUUUUGAUGGGCGUCGACCGGCGCACGGGUGAGUAACGCGUAUCCAACCUGCCCACCACUUGGGGAUAACCUUGCGAAAGUAAGACUAAUACCCAAUGAUAUCUCUAGAAGACAUCUGAAGGAGAUUAAAGAUUUAUCGGUGAUGGAUGGGGAUGCGUCUGAUUAGCUUGUUGGCGGGGUAACGGCCCACCAAGGCAACGAUCAGUAGGGGUUCUGAGAGGAAGGUCCCCCACAUUGGAACUGAGACACGGUCCAAACUCCUACGGGAGGCAGCA
rnacentral:rRNA from 1 species